AUGCUAAAAACCAACCAUCAUGAUAACCAGCAUGACCAGUGUUCCAUUUUGCAUAUGUAUGAUGGGAUACAUAAGCACAACAUCAAACUUUUUCAGUAUUUGGUGAGUGGGCUGACUUAAACCAUUGAUGAUUGUGUCUGAGCAUGAAAUGUAUGCUAAUUUCUCAAUCUGUAUUCUAUUUUCUCAAUCUGGACACAAGUGACAUCUUGCCUGAUAAAUACCUAGAUGGUCUUUUUCGGGAGCAGUGCUUGCAAGAGAACGUGUACAUCAACAUUCAACAUUAAUUUGUUAUUUGAAGACACUCAUUAUCAACAGGAGAGGAGACCAAGAGGCUGUAUCCCAGAGGCAGAAAUUAUAAUGGUCCAACGUCCAACGCUUUCAAAAGAGGUGAUGCUCAGGAGAUCAUGAGUGUCUACAAUUAAUGUGUUAGUCGAGUUCAAUUGCAUGGUUACACAGGGUGUUAUUGUGAUUACAGGAGGGGGGAAAGGGUUGGACACUGAGACUUGCGUUUCAACUAGCCAGCGAGCUCUUCCAACAAAACCUAAUUCUUGUGAAAUACAACAUAAUUAAAACUCCACAUUCUGAAUGUUAGUUCAAUCGCUAACCGUGCUGUUACUCUUCAGUCUCUACAGUGGAAAGAUAAUAAUAGAUGCAGAGGUAACAUCAACUCACAUACCUGGAUGAGUUAUAAUUAUGUUGCAUGAUAUCCAAUAAAUGUGUACUUGAUAGAAUGAAUAACUAUCCGAAUCACAAUGUUUUACAGUGAUAUGAUGAUGUCUUAAAGGGCAGGAUAGUACGGCUGGAAUUUUUGUUGCUAUACCCAAAGAGGCCAACGUCAUGACACAAGUGUAUUUCAUUUAUGCAGGAUUACAGCGCAAGCGGCUGGGAAGACAUAAGGACAGUGGUGCGCUGGCACACCUACAAAGACUAGACACAACAUUAAGUAGCCAAUGAGCGUUAUGUUUGUCUUGUGUAGAUAUGAUUUAUUGAUAUACCUAUUUAUUUGUUUUAAACAUAUUUAUUUAUAGUGUAGUAAUGUAUUCACAACUCUGUGGAGUAAAUCCUUUUUCAUACUGAAUACUCGUGUAUUUGAUUUAGGCUAUACAUAGCCUCAUGUAAUAAUGUUUUCGUACAUUCAUUUUUGUAUUUAUGAAGGCCAUUCCAUACUGUAUUUAUUAUUGCCACCUUAUAGGAAAUGUUUGUUUUUGUAAUAAUGAAAUAUUUUACAAUGAAAUAAAUUAUUUUACAAAUUUUU
rnacentral:lncRNA from 1 species